CAAAAAACACCGAUCUUGCACCGGUCCCCAUGGACGGCGGAGGCAGCUGCGAGGGGUGAUGGUCGGAUUCGCAUUUAUCGUCAAAGGAAUGAGCAUUACACCGAGGCUUGUACUCUGGAGCGGGAUCGAUUUGGAGGUGGAGGGUCCGUCAUGGUCUGGGGCGGUGUAUCACAGCAUCAUCGGACUGAGCUUGUUGUCAUUGCAGGCAAUCUCAACGUUGUGCGAAGACAUCCUUCUCCCUCAUGUGGUACCCUUCCUGCAGCGUCAUCCUUACAUGACCCCCCCAGCAUGACAAUGCCAGCAGCCAUACUGUUCUUUCUGUGCGUGAUUUCCUGCAAGACAGGAAUGUCAGUGUUCUGCCAUGGCCAGCAAAGAACCCCGAUCUCAAUCCCAUUGAGCACGUCUGGGACCUGUUGGAUCGGAGGGUGAGGGCUAGGGCCAUUCCCCCUAGAAAUGUCCAGGAACUUGCAGGUACCUUGGUGGAAGAGUGGGGUAACAUCUCACAGCAAUAACUGGCAAAUCUGGUGCAGUCCAUGAGGAGGAGACGCACUGCAAACUUAAUGCAGCUGGUGGCCACACCAGAUACUGACUGUUACUUUUGAUUUUGACACCCCCCUUUGUCCAGGGACACAAUAUUCCAUUUUUGUUAGUCACGUGUCUGUGGAACUUGUACAGUUUAUGUCUCAGUUGAAUCUUAUGUUCAUACAAAUAUUUACACAUUAAGUUUGCUGAAAAUUAAUGCAGGUGACAGUGAGAGGACGUUUCUUUCUUUGCUGAGUUUAUGUACAAUUCCUAUAUUUCAACGUUUGUAUUCUAAUGUCUGUAAGUAGGCCUAGUAUGCAAUACAACAAACCCACGUGGUAAAAAGAGUAAGGAUAUGCUUGCGUUCAUUCAUUCAAAAGACGCUGACACAGACAGAAUGAAAACUACUCAGCUAACAACAAGUGACAGCUCAGAGAAAACUAAAAACAACAAAAACCAAAUGUAGCUUUGAUAGUUAAAAAAUUAUUUUCAUCAUUCAGGACACAUUGGUUUUGAGAUGAGAAGGGUCUCUUACAUAAUGCUUAGGUUAUAUACAGUCUUCUUAAUGACUCCAAACAUAGGUAACAGAGAACAUGGUAGUAGUAGGAGUUAAAUGGAAGCCCUCGUAGGUCAAAUGUUGUGAACUAAAAAUAAAAGUGCCUUCGGCAGGACAGGGCAGACGUAUGGCCGACACACUGCACACAGUAUCCAAAUUAAGUGAUAGAAGGGUAAAGGCUGCAUUUGAACUCUUUCUGCAAUGAUCUCCAACAGGACAGACACUGUGGCUGUUCCAAUAUCCACCUACAACAGUCAUGAUGUGUUUCCCAGCUUGUGUGACUGACCACCGCAAUGGCUGAAGACUUCUUCACACAUUACUGCCCCUACUGUCUGCCCCUAAAACACACUAGAGCUACAUCACCUUAGUACUGUGUGUAUAGCUGUUGUCAUAGGCUGUUAUAAGCUGCUUUGUCUGUUCACAGUGGCAUUAUGAAUGUUUUAUGAAUGCUCGUCUAGGCCUAUGUCUCAAGCGCGUCUAGCUAAGCCUCUUGGGAACGAUAUACAGUUGCAAGUUGAUUGUUAUGUUGUGCUACAAGCGCUAAAGAGCAUGCCCCUGCUCCUUCCACUCAAAACGUCAGUUUGGUUUUUGAUCCAUUUGAGCUCUGUCACAUUUUGUUAUGCAGCAGCCGUGAAGAGCAUACUUCAGUGGCAACUACCAAGCUCUCUCCCAGCUUGUUUGUUUGUCUGUCUGUCUGUGUUGACAUUGUCUCCCUCGUCCACAUGCUUCAUACCAGUGCCUGUUCUGAUCACAUUACAGAUACACACGACAGUAGCCUAAGCCUGUAUUCAUAGUGUCUUGAAGUAGGGAGCUGAUAUAGGAUCAGGUCCCUCCUAU
ensembl:lncRNA